AAUGAGCGAGAGGCGUGAAGGACUUGGCCUCGAAGCCCCACAUUCCCAGGAUUUCAAGCCUGGCGCAUGGCUGCUCUUUCCGAAUAGAACCCCUUUUUAGAAGGGUGUUCCAUGAAUGUUGCAUAAGGAACGUCAGUGGACCAGGGGUUCCAACGUGAAAGAAAUGUUGGCUCUCGCACUUUGUCCCAGAAGAUCCGUAUGCCUUCUCCUUCCCUCCUAGAAUGUGAAACAGUUCAACAGAUCAUCAGCAUUUAGUUCACAUUUGGAGAAAUCUCUGGGCACCACAGUUCAAAAAGCUAUGAACAAGCUGGAACAUGUCUAGAAGAGGGCAACCAAGAUGAUCAAAG